rnacentral:rRNA from 1 species
GAUGAACGCUGGCGGCGUGCCUAAUACAUGCAAGUCGAGCGAACAGACGAGGAGCUUGCUCCUCUGACGUUAGCGGCGGACGGGUGAGUAACACGUGGAUAACCUACCUAUAAGACUGGGAUAACUUCGGGAAACCGGAGCUAAUACCGGAUAAUAUAUUGAACCGCAUGGUUCAAUAGUGAAAGACGGUUUUGCUGUCACUUAUAGAUGGAUCCGCGCCGCAUUAGCUAGUUGGUAAGGUAACGGCUUACCAAGGCGACGAUGCGUAGCCGACCUGAGAGGGUGAUCGGCCACACUGGAACUGAGACACGGUCCAGACUCCUACGGGAGGCAGCAGUAGGGAAUCUUCCGCAAUGGGCGAAAGCCUGACGGAGCAACGCCGCGUGAGUGAUGAAGGUCUUCGGAUCGUAAAACUCUGUUAUUAGGGAAGAACAAAUGUGUAAGUAACUAUGCACGUCUUGACGGUACCUAAUCAGAAAGCCACGCCUAACUACGUG